rnacentral:snRNA from 1 species
UGCACGGGCCGGCUCAACCCGC